AGGCCCACUAUCUGUCAUGUGAUGCUAUACCAGAGUCAGGCUGAAAUUUGGUGUCUACAAAAGUGUGUUUCAUCAGUUUUAAGAUCUCUAUGUUAAUGUUAAUGCUGGUCAGCUGUGCCUGAAUUCCAAGGGGAGGAGGGAAUAAUGAGGUAUGUCUGACUCUCACUUCCCAUCAUGGCCUGAAAUAGUUUUUCUGGUUAAGUUUGGAAUAUCUUUGAACAAGAGAAGGGGUUGAUUCCGUUGAUUAGGGAAUUCUAUUUUUGGUUUACAUCUCUUGGUACUCUGUACCAUGCUGCAAACCAAAUCAAUGCUAAUUUUGAAAAUGGUCUCACUUGAGUAUCAUUUUUUAUUGUUUCUUAUUGUUGAAGGCAAGGUUGGUAGGGAAUUGGAUAAGAAAGCAAAAGGUCCACCUGAUUGGCUCCUGAGCAAUUUAAAAUGGCACUGUCUAUGCCCACCUUGUGCCUUCCAGCAGUUGACCAAGCCCCUUGCCAGCUGAGUGGCCCAUGCCAGCAGAUUAGAGCAUGGUAAGAGGAACUCAUUGACAGCCACACCCAGUUCCCAAUGUGGUCUUGACCUCAGCUUCUAACUUGUUCCCUCAUCUUCCAUCUUUGGUGUGUUAGUUCAUUUUCAUGUUGCCAUCUCAGAACUAUCUCAUACUGGGUAAUGUAUGAAGAGAAGAGGUUUAAGUGACUCAGUUUCACAGGCUGUACAGGUAACAUGGCUAGGGAGACCUCAGAAAAUUUUCCGUCAUGGUGGAAGGUGAAGGGGAAGCAGACAUGUCUUAUAUGGCUGGAGUAGGAGGGAGAGAGCAAUGGUGGGAGGUGCUACCCACUUUUAAACAACCAGAGGCCAGGCAUGGUGGCUCACAUCUGUAAUCACAGCACUUUGGGAGGCCAAGGCAGGUGGAUCACUUGAGUUCAGGAGUUUGAGACCAGCCUGGGCAACAUUGCAAAACCCUGUCCCUAUGAAAAUUACAAAAAUUACUCAGACAUGGCAGAUGCUUGUAGUCCCAGUGUAUUUGUCUGUUUUCGCACUGAUGAUAACGACAUACCCGGGCCUGGGAAGAAAAAGAGGCUUAAUUGGGCUUACAGUUCCACAGGGCUGGGGAGGCCUCAGAAUUAUGGCAAGAGGCAAAAGGCACUUCUUACAUGGUGGCACCAAGAGAAAAUGAGAAGGAUACAAAAGUGAAAUUCCCUGAUAAAACUAUCAGAUCUUCUGAGACUUACUAACAUAAGAACAGUAUGGGGGAACCACCCCAAUAAUUCAAAUUAUCUCCCACCAGGUACCCCCAACAGCAUGUAGGAAUUAUAGGAGUACAAUUCAAGAUGAGAUUUGGGUGGGGACACAGAGCCAAACCAUAUCACCCAGCUACUUGGGAGGCUGAGAUGACAGAAUUACUUGAGCCUAGAAGGAAGAGGUUGCAGUGAGCCAAGUUCAUGCCACUACACUCUGUCCUGGGUCACAGAGCCUGACCCUGCCUCAAAAAUAAAUAAAUAAUAAAUAACCAGAUCUCAUGAGAACUCACUCACUAUCACAAGAACGGCAAUGGGGAAGUCUGCCCCAUGAUCCAAUCCCCUCUCACCUAGCGUCUCCUCCAACACUGGGGAUAAUAAUUCCACCUGAGAUUUUGGCAGAGAUACAAAUCCAGACCAAAUCAUUCACUCCUGGCCCCUCCCAAAUCUUAUGUCCUUCUUACAUAGCAAAAUACAAUUAUCCUGUCUUGGUAGUUCCACAAGUCUUAACUCAUUUCAGCAUUAACUCAAAAGUCUAAAAUCUCAUCUGAGAAAAGGCAAUUCCCUUCUGCCUAUGACUAUGAACCUAUAAAAUCAAAAACAAAUUAGUUACUUCCAAGAUACAAUGAGGGUACAGGCAUUGGGUAAAUGAACUCAUUCCAAAGGGGAAAAUUAGCCAAAAUAAAGGGGAUAUAGGCCCUCUGUAAGUCUGAAAGCCAGCAGGGCAGUCAUUAAUUAUUAAAGCUCCAAAGUAAUCUCCUUUGAAUUUAUGUCUCACAUUGAGGCCACACUGAUGCAAGGGGUGUGCUCCCAAGGCCUUAGGCAUCUCUGCCCCUGUGGCUCUGCAGGGUACAGCUUCCUUGAAUACUUUCAUGGGCUGGCACUGAGUGCCUGCAGCUUUUCCAGGUGCAUGAUGCAAGCUGUCGAUGAAUCUACCAUUCUGGGGUCUGGAAGAUGGCUCCACUAGGACAAUGUAUGGGGACUCCAAGCCCAUGUUUCCCCUCUGCACUGCCCUAGUAGAAGUUCUCCAUGAGGGCUCUGGAGACUUCUGUGAACAUCCAGGCAUUUUCAUGCAUCCUCUGAAAUCUAUGCAGAGGCUCCCACACCUCAGCUCUUGCCCUCUGUGCACCUGCAGGCUUAACACCAUGUGGAAGCCAUCAAGGCUUAUGACUUACACCCCCUGGAGCAGUGGCCUAAGAUGUAUCUGGGGUCCUUCUAACCACAGCUGAAGCUGGAGUAGCUAGGAUGCAGGGAGCAGUGUCCUGAGGUUGCUCAGGGCAGUGGGGCCCUAGACUCAGACUGUAAAACUAUUUUUCCCUCCUAGGCCUCCAGGCCUGUAAUGAGAGAGGUUGCCAUGAAGGCCUCUGAAAUGCCUUCAAGGCAUUGCCUCCCAUUGUCUUGGCCAUUAAUGUUAGGCUCCUCUUUAUUUAUGCAAAUUUCUGCAGCCAGCUUGAAUUGCUCCCCAGAAAAUUGUUUUUUCUUUUCUACCACAUGGCAGGGCUGCAAAUUUUCUAAACUUUUACACUCUGCUUCUCUUAUAAAUAUCUUCUAUUUCCAGGUCAUUUCUUUGCUCACAAAUAUAAGCUUAAGAUGUUAGAAGCAGCCAGGCUAUGUCUUGAACAUUUUGCUGCCUAGAAAUUUCUUCAGCAAGUUACUCUAAAUUAUCACUUUCACUUUCAAAGUUUCACAGGGCAGGGGCACAAUGCUUCCAACCUCUUUGCUAGUGCAUAACAAAAGUGAUCUUUGCUCCAGUUCCCAGUAAGUUCCUUAUCUCCAUCUGAGACCACCUCAGCCUAGACUUCGUCAUCCAUAUCACUCAGUAAUUUGGUCCCAAGAAUCUAACAAGUUUUUAGGAAGUUCCAAACUUUUUAUCAUCUUCCUGUCUUCUUCUGAGACCUCCAAGCUGUUUUAACCUCUGCCUGUUACCCGGUUCCAAAGUCACUUCCACAUUUUCAGGUACCUUUAUGCCAGUGGCCCACUCCUCAGUACCAAUUUUCUGUAUUAGUCCAUUCUCACAUUUCUACAAAGAACUACCUGAGACUGCAUAACUUAUAAAGAAAAGGGGUUUAACUGACUGACAGUUCCACAGGCUGUACAGGUAACAUGGCUGGAGAGGCUUCAGGAAACUUUCAAUCAUGGUAGAAGUAACGAGGAGAAAGCAGGCAUGUCUUACAUUGCUGGAGUAGGAGAGAGAACCUCUAGUAGGUGCUACACACUUUUAAACAAUCAGAUCUUGUAAUAACUCACUCACUAUUAUGAGAACAGCAAGGGGAAAUCCACCCCUAUGAUCCAGUCAUCUCCCACCAGGCCCCUCCUCCAACAUUGCAAUUUGACAUGAGAUUUGGGUGGAGACACAAAUCCAAACAAUAUCUUUUGGCAUUUACUCUGCUCCUGAUAUCUGAUACCACUCACCAGUACAACUUUGGCUCUUUCUUGUAAUUUGUGCUAAGGGAAACCAAAAUAUUUCAGCCCAAAAAAGAAUUCUUUAACAUAUUUCAAGAUGGCUAUUCAGAAGGGCUGGAAAUAUGAGAACAGCUGAAAAGCUGUCCUUUGUGGGGGGAGAAUUGCAUCUGUAGAGAAAAUCUGCAUUGAUACAGCCAGGCUUUCUCUGAGGCCCUUUCUUGUCCAGAUCUAAGGAAGAUUAACAGAAUUUAAUACCUUUAAAGAUCUGCAAGAAACAUUUACCAUCUAAUCUCUCUUGAGGGCUGCUAUCUGUGAGAUUUCCUCUACAUAACAAGACCAUCUUUUCUGCCAGUCCUCCUCUUCUUCCCCAUCUGUAAUGUAUUUUGCUCCCAAAACCUGUUUUGCCACAAUCAAAACCCCCCAUUCUUUCUGUAACCUUAAGAUGUUCUGAAAGCUUCUGUGCCCCACUUUGCGCUUGGGGUAAUCACUCUGUGAUUCAUUACAUUACCAUGCUAUAGUCUGCUGGCAUGGAUCAUUCAAAUGGCAGGUGGCAUGGUGCAUGUUAAUACAUUUGCAUACCAUUUCACCUAUUAACCUGUCUUUUAUGAGUUUUCAGUUAUCCUUCAGAGGGUAAAGGGGAAGUUUUAUACCAGCACUCGACUUAAACGCCUAUCUGCUUCUUGUCAUUAAGUGAACAAAUCAGCCUGAGCCUCAUAGUCCCUGGGACCCUUCCUCAGCCCAUGUAAUCAGUGAACAUCCCAGAUUGCCUUAAGCCCCAA